GGUUAUGGAAUAUUGAGAGAUGGGAUGAGAACCAUGAAUUGCUUGUGGAAUUAUAUUUUCAGAACGGUUGUUUAAGUGAGAUUCCUUUUCUAUUAAAGUGGGAAGUUUUAUCAAAGAAAGAAUGAGGUUUCAAAACAUUUUCUUUUAGAAAUAAUAAUGGGAAUGUAAAAGAGAAUUAUUGGUUUUCAUGCUGAAAUGUGUCAAGAGGAACAUUUUGAGAAACAUACAGUUAUAUGUGUAUACUUUCUAUAUCAAAUGUCACAUUACGUAUAUGGUAUGACUUGAUGCAUUCAUGAUCAUUUUUAUCUAUAUGUUGUGAUUGGUUAGGAUCUUUGGGAUCUCUACUGGGCGUAGUGCUCAUCCCACGUGUUGAUUAACUCUUUCAGGUGCAAGACUAGAAGGAUCGUUUGUGACUUGAAGUCUCUUAUUUGUUGGCCACGGGGCCCCUUUAUUUGUAGGCUGAGUGCCAUGUAUUGUAUAAAGGUAAAUCCUUUUGUUUCAUUUAUUAUUAUUCAAUGUAAGCCUAAGGGCAUCGUACCAUGUCUUAUUUAUAUCAUUAUUACUGUUGUGAGAGAAUGAUAUUAUUUAUUCAUGCUUAUCCUCAAUUAAAUUGAAUUAUUAUAAUGGAUUUGGUAAUGUUAUCCGAGUAAUAAAAGGUGGGCGUGACAAUUGCGAUGCCUAGAUCUUGGAUGAACCUUAGAGGUACGACCCUAUUUCUUAUCUCUUCUAAUGUGGAAGGACUUUUAUGGCCCAACAGCUUUGAUAUAUGCACCUUAAAGAUUUAUUUUAUUUUCAUUUUUUGGCUUCUUCUUUCCAUUUUUUUUCUUUUCAAAAAUCUGACUAUGGAGUUGCCAAUUCACACAUGUCAUGUUUGAAUCAAGCUUGGAUUCUUAAAUUGCUUAAAGGAUUUCCUAUGGCCUAUGUUUUUGGUUGAAGAGAAGUGAAAAGGGAAGGGGGAAUUAAACACCCUAACUAUGUUUAUGCCCUAUUUUUUUCUUUCCUAUGUUUGUAUGGUACAUUGAGUUACCGAAGAGUUGGUUGGUCUUUAUAUCUCAAACCUUCUUGUUUUAACCUCUAACAUAGCAAAUAAAAUUGACAUGAAACAAUUUUAUCAUGGAUAGCACAUGCACUAUGAUAUUUUUUUUUCUGGUUCUUUUCAUCUUUUAUAUCCUUUUUCUUUGAACCAGAGUAGAGCAUACAAAAUAACAUACUCAUGUUUUGUGGGUAUAGCUUUAAUUUUUGUUAGAAAGCAUAGUGCUUCAAGAUUUUAUAUGGAGGAAUACUUGCCAACAAUUUGUCAUAACCCCUCUCUUGGUAAAUGCUAAGAAGUUUAUCUCCUAAGGAUAUGCCACUCUACUUCAAAGAAGGUUAUCACCUCUUGAUCCAGUCACAUGAAUUAAUUUAUCAAUAUGGAGGAGUAGAAGACCCCACUUUAGAUGAUGAAGAAUGGUCGCAAAUAUCUGAAAUGCACUCAAGGUAAAGUGACAUUUUGUUUUUACAUGCUUCAUGUCAUACUAGAGGUAAUGUUAAGACAUUUGAAGGGGCGUGAUCAGUCGGACUUUAUCUUUUGUAAGAAUAAAACAAUCUCUACAAAUAGUUAGUUUCUUCAUAGCGGUUUCUGAAUUAAUUUGUGAUUUCAUUUUUCAGGUUAGAAAUUUUUUGUAGAGAUGCAAAAUAUGGUCAAAGAAUUCAAGAACUUAGUUUUUCAAGUUUUUUCAUUUUUUAAUAUA